rnacentral:rRNA from 1 species
GGGGGGACCACCCUCCAAGGCAAAACACAGAUAUCGACCGAUAGCGCAUAGUACCAUGAGGGAAAGGUGAAAAGCACCCCGGGAGGGGAAUGAAACAGAACCUGAAACCGUAUGUUUACAAGCAGUCGGAGACCGUAUAUAUAUCAGGUCGACGGCGUGCCUAUUGAAGAAUGAACCGGCGAGUUAUGAGGUCCAGCGAGGUUAAGCAGGAAAUGCGGAGCCGAAGCGAAAGCGAGUCUUAACAGGGCGAGUAGUUGGACUGCAUAGACCCGAAACCACAGUGAUCUACCCAUGUCCAGGUUGAAGCACAGGUAAAAAUGUGUGGAGGACCGAACCUAUAUCCGUUGAAAAGGGUUAGGAUGAGGUGUGGGUAGGGGUGAAAUGCCAAUCGAACGUGGAGAUAGCUGGUUCUCCCCGAAAUAGCUUUAGGGCUAGCCUCAGGGUAAAGAUUGCAGGCGGUAGAGCACUGAUCAGGAGAGGGACCUACCCGGUUACCAAACCCAGUCAAACUACGAAUGGCUGCAAUUAUACCUGGGAGUCAGACUACGACUUAUAAGGGCCGUGGUCAAAAGGGAAACAGCCCAGAUCAUCAGCUAAGGUCCCAAAUGCCGUGCUAAGUGGCGAAGGAUGUGGCGUUUCAUAAACAACCAGGAUGUUGGCUCAGAAGCAGCCACCAUUUAAAGAGUGCGUAAUAGCUCACUGGUCGAGAGACGCUGCGCCGAAAAUGUCCGGGGCUCAAGCACGGAACCGAAGCUAUGGCAUUGCGUAAGCAAUGGGUAGGGGAGCGUUCUUAUGGGGAAGAAGCAUUACCGUAAGGAGAUGUGGACACAUAAGAAGUGAGAAUGCCGGUAUGAGUAUCGAAAAGAAAGGUGAGAAUCCUUUCCACCGAAAGCCCGAGGGUUCCUGAGCAACGAUCGUCGUCUCAGGGUAAGUCGGGACCUAAGCCGAGGCACAGACGCAUAGGCGAUGGACAACAGGUUGAAAUUCCUGUACCGGAUGGAGUCAUUUGAGCAAUGGAGUGACGCAGGAGGGCACAUGAUCGCGCGACUGGAAGAGCGCGUCCAAGUGCGUAUGUUGAAUCGGAGGCAAAUCCCCGAUUCUGAAAGCAGAGACAUGAUGGGGAGUUAUAAGCGAUUAUGACGAACUCAUGGAUCCCACACUGCCAAGAAAAACUUCUAGCGAGACGAAAUCCGCCCGUACCGUAAACCGACACAGGUAGGCGGGGAGAGAAUCCUAAGGUGCGCGGGAAAACCCUCGUUAAGGAACUCGGCAAAUUGCCCCCGUAACUUCGGGAGAAGGAUGGCCCUGAGUAGGCGAAGUGCAGAAACGCACGGAACAGAAAAGGGUGGCAGAAAAGAGGCCCAAGCAACUGUUUACCAAAAACACAGGUGCCUGCGAAAGCGAAAGCUGAAGUAUAGGUGCUGACGCCUGCCCGGUGCUGGAAGGUUAAGGAGAGAGGUUAGCGCAAGCGAAGCUUUGAACUGAAGCCCCAGUGAACGGCGGCCGUAACUAUAACGGUCCUAAGGUAGCGAAAUUCCUUGUCGGGUAAGUUCCGACCCGCACGAAAGGUGUAACGACUUGGGCACUGUCUCAACGAGGGACCCGGUGAAAUUGAAGUACCUGUGAAGAUGCAGGUUACCCGCGACUGGACAGAAAGACCCCAUGGAGCUUUACUGCAGCUUGAGAUUGAAUCCCGGUGGCAGACGCACAGGAUAGGUGGGAGGCUUUGAGAUAGUGACUUUGGUUGCUAUGGAGCCGACGUUGGGAUACCACCCUUCUGUUGCUGGGAUUCUAACGCGAAGAUUAACAACCUUGCGGACCAUCUCAGGUAGGCGGUUUGACUGGGGCGGUCGCCUCCGAAAGAGUAACGGAGGCGCCCAAAGGUUCCCUCAGCGCGGCCGGAAAUCGCGCGAAGAGUGUAAAGGCAGAAGGGAGCUUGACUGCGAGUCAAACACGACGAGCAGGUACGAAAGUAGGGCUUAGUGAUCCGGUGGUUCCGAGUGGAA